rnacentral:rRNA from 1 species
AUGGCAAGAGUUGGAGUUACAAAUAUGGAAAGUUACAUCUGGGGUGUUACAACACUCCACCACUACGAGAGGAUCUCGUCCCGAGAUCUAGGACUGAAAGAACUCCGGAUAUUCGGAACGAAGGUGGUCCUCACAUUCCCAGGUGGCUUCUCGGUCGGAAUGGUGCGACCACUUCACUUUCAGGAAUUUGAUUCACUUGUUGCGAGUCUUGCGCUCAGUUUCUUCAAGAAUAGCAACGGGGUGCUCAUGAUAAGACAAAUCUUCUUGGAGGUCAAUCUCUUCAAAGUUGAUGGUGUGCUCAGGAGUCUUGAAGCACUUGCGAAGCUGUGA